AGAAAGCAAAAAGUUUAGGAAUUCGUAAACCUUAGUAUGGGGAGCAUGACCAUUGCCGAUUACUAUAGCAAAUUUAUAGCACUGUCGUAGUUUGCACCUGAGGUUGUAGCCACAUAGGAGCUAAAGGCUCUGAGGUUUAAGAAAGGUUUGACUGAGGAGAUCCAAUUAGGAUUAGGUGGGGAAACCUUUACAUCUUUGGAUAUUGUGUAUGUGAAAGCUGCUCAUAUUUAUGGUUUGCAGUCUAGAAGGGACAAGAAAAAUAUUGUUCUUGGGAGAAAAGAAAAAUGUGUAAUGCUGGGGAAAACCAAGGGAAUUUCAGGAGGAAUAUGAAUGAAAAUGGGAAUGGGAAUGGAUAUGGAAACUUUCAAGGAAGGAACAAACAGGGGCACAACAAUAGGAACCAAUCGGAGAAGGUGUAUCACUGUAAGAUGUGCAAUAACAACCAUCCUGGUAGGAAUUGUAAGGGAGAAUUAAUGAACGGUAACUAUUGUUAGAAAAAGGGGCAUAGGAAGUAUGAGUGCUUUACUAAAUGGAAAAAGGAACAAAAUGGUAAUGAGAGUGCUAACCAGGUGAAGUCGGGAUUUAACCAGUCAAGAAAUUAGAGUUUGAAGCCUAUAGGGUCGCAAGACAGCCAAGGAAACCUCCAUAAGUAUGUUAAUUAGAAUAACAACCAUAACAAGGCCCCGGGUAAACUGUCUGUGAUAAGUCGAAAUGAAGCUGAACAACCUGUUGACUUAGUUUCUGUUACUAUUCUAUUAACUCUGUGCUAGUUAGAAAGUUAUUUGAUUCAGGGAAAGCUUAUUCUUUUGUUUCGUCAUCUCUUAUUAAGAGUCUGAAGUUAGUAGAUUUUGAAUGAUUGAUUUACCCGUUAUUAGGCUUACUGGUGUAACCAUAAGGUGUAUAAGAUUAUUUAAGAACUUGCCUUUGAAGAUAAAAGAUUGCGUUUUCCCUUCUGAUUUGAUAAAAGUUUAAUCUGAGGGACCUGGAUGUAAUUCUGGGGAUGGAUUGGCUAAGUUUGUACAAGGCUAAGGUAGACUGUGAAAUGCAGAAAGUAAGUUUAAGGAACCCUAUUGAAAGGUUGAGCUCAUGUAGAUGUUUUGAGAAGUCCAAGAACCUUAGUUAUUUCUGUAAUGCAAGUGAGGAAAUUGAUGAAUAGAGAGUGUGAACGAUUUUUCUGUAGUGUGUUAGAGGUGAGUAAAGAAGUUGGAGUUAAAAUUGAGGAUGUUGCCAUUGUGAGUGGAUUCAUUGAUGUGUUUCCGAGCGAAAUUGCAAGUAUGUUACCAGCUAGAGCAUUUGAGUUCUCUAUAGAGUUAAAUCCUGAAACGACACCUAUAAAUUAUCUAAUUAGGACACAAUUGCAAGAGUUGUUUCGUUAAGGAGUAUGUUAGGCCUAGUGCGUCACCGUGAGGAGCUCCUGUGUUGUUUAUUAAGGAGAAAGAUAAGAGUAUGGAAUUAUGCAUCGAAUUUAGGGAACUAAAUACCAUCAAGAACAAGUACCCUUUGCCUAGGAUAGAUGACAUGUUGGAUUAAUUGAAUUGGGCGAGUGUGUUCUCGAAAACUGAUUUGUGUUUGAAGUACCACCAAUUGAGAAUAGCUGAUAAGGGCCUAAGACCUCAUUAGGAUUCGUAUUGUCAUUGUGGGUUUAGAAUAAUGUCUUUUGGGUUAACCAAUGCACCUGCAUUAACUAUGGAUUUGAUGAAUAAGUUUUUCCACGAAUUCCGAAUUAAGUUCGUUAUUAUGUUAUAAAUGAUAUCCUAAUUUAUUCAAGGAAUGAGAAAGAGCAUGACAAACACUUGAGGAUUAUUUGGAGAUGUUUAGAAAGAAUCUACUUUUAUUAAAUGAAGUAUACAAAUCUUGAAGUUAUGUGUGUAUAAGUGACAACCGACAGAAAAGUGAAGGACUAAAUUGAUUGAGAACUAUGUUACGUAAGGGAAUAAAUUUAAGAGAAAAUUUGAGUGGUCCAGGAUCGUUAGAAAUAAUUUGGCGUCUUGAAAAGGUGAAAGGAAAUAUAUGAAUUGGUGAAAGAGCUAGGAGUUGUGCCCAAAAGUUAUACAUCCGUGAAAGACAUAAUGAGGUUUGGUAAAAAGGAAAAGUUGACCAGAAGGAAUCCCUGUAGAUCCUGCUAAGAUUCAAGCUGUGGGUGAGUGACCUAUUCCAAGAACGUUUGACUUCCGCAUUCGUUAUCGUGUUAGUUGAAACCUUAUGAGGCUAAUUAACCUACUCAUGACCUAUAGCUAGCUGCUAUUAUGUUCGCUUUGAGGUUUAGAGACAUUAUCUUUAGGGGAAAACAAUUGAGAUCCUUACCAACCAUAAAAGUCUGAAACUUUGGCAAAAAGGUCUAGUGAACUUGGGGACGACAUUGAAAAUGAGUACUGCUUUCCACCCUGCGAUCAACGGACAAACUGAGAUUACUAACAGAAAAUAUGUUGAGAGACUGUGUUAUUGACUUUAAAAGUAAUUGGGAAGACCAUCUAGAUUCGAUUGAAUUUCUUGCAACAAUAGUUACUAUGUGAGCUUUAAGAUAGCACCUAUUGAGGCAUUGUGUGGAAAGAAGUGUAGAAAUCCCACUUGCUACGAUUUUAGUGGAAAUAUAGCAUUGGGGAGAUGAUUCGAUGAAGUAGAAAUAUCCAAAGUUAUUCCCUGAGAUGAGUUACGAGGGCGUAACUCGUUUUCUUUAAGAGGGGUAGAAUGCGAUAGAAAUUCGCGCUUUUUACCUAUUUUUAUGGUAUUUUUAUGCAUUUUUAUGCUUAUUUUAGCAAAUUAUGCACGUUGACGCAAGUAAUUAGAUUCUCUGCAUAAGAAAAGCGUGUUCAUGAGUAACACAAACAACUUUAAGUUGGCAAAAGAGUGCACAUGAGUGGCACAAGUACUUCUUUAGUAUGAAUAAGUUGAAAACUUUUGAAAAAGGUGUGAAUUUCCGUGUCAAGUUUCGGGACGAAACUUCUUUUAAGAGGGGUAGAUUGUAAUCCCCCGUAAAUUUAUAAAUUUUAUUAAUGUAUUUUAACAUAUAGUUAAUUAUAUUUAAAUAGAAUUUACGAAUUUUAGAAAUAAAUAUGUAAUUAACGAAUAUUUAUUUUUAUAUAUAUUUUAAAUAUUUCAACGAUUUAUGAAAUCAAAAAUAAUUUUAGAAUUUUCCGUUGAAAAGAAUUAGAAUUACAAAAACACGUUCGAUUGAAUUUAGAAAACAAUCCUAAGCGGUGUUGAUUCAAGUUCUAAACUAAAUCCUAACUCUAGCCCAAUUGGGUGAAGCCCAAAAUAACAAAAAGCCAUAACACUUUACUCCAUCCUCUUUCUAUUUCACGUGAAAAACCAAAAACCCCAAAACCCUUUCCCUCCUCAAUUUCACGUAAAGAAAAAGAGAACAGAACCCCCUCCUUCAAUUCUCCCUCACGCUGCUUCCCUUGCUGCUGCCCAGCCGCCGACCACCUAUCGCCGCCGCGACCACCGUCCUCGUCGUCGCCGCCACCAAGCUGCGACCACCACCGCCCACCGUGCAGCGCCAGCCGUGCCACCAACCGCGUUCAACACCGCUGCCCAGCUGCCGCACCACCGGCAACCACCGUGCAGACACCACCGUCCGCCGCACUCCUCCGACCAGUGCCGCCGCCCAUCUCUGCUGCCGCGCCGCCCUGCCCGCCGGCCAGCACCUCCCUCUCUCCCAUUUUUGGCGGAGAAUUCUCUCUAGGCGACUUUUGAAAGUGUUAAAGUGGCCUAUUAGUUUGUUUACACAAGUCUCUAAGGAUCAAUAAGCGUUGCCCAUCUACAGGUUUGAAGAUGAUGCAUCAUUGGGAUCGGGAUUAGAGAGCUUGUAGUUCAUUUGAUUUUCUAAGUGGGUUUUGGUUUGUUUAAGUGGACUCUAAAACUUAUUGAAUUAGUAACAUUAACUUUGUUUUUCGUUGAUUGGUUUUUGGGAUUUAUUCUGAAAAUGAUUAUUUAUAAACCUACAGUUAGUUUUAUGUUUUCCGCUGCAAAAUUCUGAAUAAGCCGUUACGUUUUCACACGGGCGAUAAUGCCUUGAUA